AGGUCCCGAAGAGCAGGCAGGUGGGUAGGAGGGUCCGCGGGCAGGACCCCAGGCUUGUGAGGGAAGAACUCCUGUGAGGUGUGGCUGCCCAACAAUCGGUGAGCGCUGGGGGCAGACGGGCAUGACCAGGCCGGUCACCUGGGGCUGCCCCAGCGUUGCCUCCACAGACUGGGGUUACGUGUUUUUGGAAGGAAGACCACAGAGGUAAAGUACCAUCUCCGUCACAUCAUGUCAAGGCACUGAAUCCUUUUAACCUCUGACAUGGAUAUCUUCUGCUCCCUCCUGUUGUAGCCACGCCACAGGCGUUUUGAACUUGAAUAUUUGUCAAAUGCUGGUUUGACAUGGACCUUCCACGAAGCUGAUGUCACCCAUCCUCCAUUCUCUUUGGUUUCCCCAGCCCCCAUCCUCUUUCCCCUUCUCUACAUUUUGGAGGAGUAAGGACGGAGGGGCUGUGGGUCCGGCAUCUCAUUUUCCAGAUGAGGAGGCUUGUGCUACUGACUUC
rnacentral:lncRNA from 1 species